UACCUGCAGCUCAAGUGGUGGCCACUAUUAUUGGGCCUAAAACGUCCGUAGCCGGUUUAGUUAAUGCCUGGGUAAAUUGUGUAGCUCAACUAUACGAAUACCGGGUAGACUGCUAAACUUGGGACCGGGAGAGGCUAGAGGUACUCCUGGGGUAGAGGUGAAAUUCUGUAAUCCUAGGGGGACCACCAGUGGCGAAGGCGUCUAGCCAGAACGGGUUCGACGGUGAGGGACGAAGCCCUGGGGCGCAAACCGGAUUAGAUACCCGGGUAGUCCAGGGUGUAAACGCUGCUCGCUUGAUGUUAGUCGGGCUCCGAGCCCAACUAGUGUCGGAGAGAAGUUGUUAAGCGAGCUGCCUGGGAAGUACGGUCGCAAGGCUGAAACUUAAAGGAAUUGGCGGGGAGCACAGCAACGGGUGGAGCGUGCGGUUU
rnacentral:rRNA from 1 species